rnacentral:rRNA from 1 species
GGCUCUUCGGUUAUUAAUUAAAUGAGGAGUCGGACCUGCCCGGUGACCUACGGGUUAAACGGCCGCGGUACACUGACCGUGCAAAGGUAGCACAAUCACUUGCCCUUUAAUUAGAGGCUGGUAUGAAUGGUUUGACGAGGGUUGAGCUGUCUCUUUUGGAAUAUUUAAAAAUUAACUUCUAGGUGAAAAGGCCUAGAUUGAGCUGAGGGACGAGAAGACCCUGUUGAGCUUUAGUGUUGGGUAGAGAGUGGCAUUUCUAUUAUUAAUAGAAAGUUUAGAUUUACUUUUACAUCUUUAGUUGGGGUGACUAGGGAACAUGGAUAGCUUCUCUGUUGUUUGUUUAACUUAAUUUGGUGGACUGACUGGUGAUCCAGCAUUGUUGAUUAUCGGAAAAAGUUACCACAGGGAUAACAGCGUAAUCUUUCUGGAGAGUUCACAUUGAAAGAAGGGUUUGCGACCUCGAUGUUGGAUUAAGGUGUCCUGAGGGUGUAGCAGCUUUCGUUGGUUGGUCUGUUCGACCAUUAAAACCUU